rnacentral:misc_RNA from 1 species
CAACUUCCACCUGGCUUACCUCCNUCAUUUAUGCGUCAUGACUUGUAUCGUCUUGAGCGUAUUGUGGGUUUCCUGUGUUGCAUACCUUUCUAAUGGUAUCGUGUUGAUUGAUCUAAGUCCCUUUUCAUCUUGUGUUGCUUUUUGCGACGCAUGAUGAACCUUGAGGCGGUCUCUAUGUUCCACCACGUUGAUGYUACUGUUUCGAUGUUGUGGCCCAUUGAGCGUUGCUUGGUUUUGUGGAUACAGAACAUGAUUUGGGCAUAGGGUUACUUGUGACUCUUGUUCUGUCCUUUAUCAGUGUUCUUUAUAACGACGGUUCAUGCGCGCCUAGGCUCGUACCUGCGCGAUGUUCUUUGUCGAAGAGGAAUGCUACCUGGUUGAUCCUGCCAGUAGUCAUAUGCUUGUCUCAAAGAUUAAGCCAUGCAUGUGUAAGU